GGCCGCCCUCCCGAGCGCUGCAGGGGCCCCUGUCCCCUCAGCCAGGGCAGGAGCCCCAGAUCAGCAGCGAGGAUGUUUGUCGGGCCCGCCGCCAGCUGGUGGCCCCGUUUUCCUGCCUCGCACACCA